UUAAGAUGUAAACAAAGCGAAGAGGAGAAGAGUUCAAGUUCAUCGAGGGAAAUAGUGCUUAAUUUGCAGUUUUUGGAUUAGGAACAAGUACUUCUUAUUGAUUUCAUGUGCGUUUCAAAAGUUGCCACGGAUUGAUUGUUAUGAUGCAGACGACCAUAUAUCCA